rnacentral:tRNA from 1 species
GGACCUUUAGCUCAGUUGGUUAGAGCAGACGGCUCAUAACCGUCCGGUCGUAGGUUCGAGUCCUACAAGGGCCA